rnacentral:rRNA from 1 species
CAAUAGCGUAUAUUAAAGUUGUUGCGGUUAAAAAGCUCGUAGUUGGAUUUCUGCUGAGAACGACCGGUCCGCCCUUUGGGUGUGUAUCUGGCUCUUUCUUGGCAUCUUCUUGGUGAACGUUGCUGCACUUGACUGUGUGGAGCGCUACCCAGGACUUUUACUUUGAGGAAAUUAGAGUGUUUCAAGCAGGCAUACGCCUUGAAUACAUUAGCAUGGAAUAAUAAGAUAGGACCUCGGUUCUAUUUUGUUGGUUUCUAGAGCUGAGGUAAUGAUUAAUAGGGACAGUUGGGGGUAUUCGUAUUCCGUUGUCAGAGGUGAAAUUCUUGGAUUUACGGAAGACGAACUACUGCGAAAGCAUUUACCAAGGAUGUUUUCAUUAA